rnacentral:rRNA from 1 species
GGUUAAGCGACUAAGCGUACACGGUGGAUGCCCUGGCAGUCAGAGGCGAUGAAGGACGUGCUAAUCUGCGAAAAGCGUCGGUAAGGUGAUAUGAACCGUUAUAACCGGCGAUGUCCGAAUGGGGAAACCCAGUGCAAUUCGUUGCACUAUCGUUAACUGAAUACAUAGGUUAACGAGGCGAACCGGGGGAACUGAAACAUCUAAGUACCCCGAGGAAAAGAAAUCAACCGAGAUUCCCCCAGUAGCGGCGAGCGAACGGGGAGCAGCCCAGAGUCUGAAUCAGCUUGUGUGUUAGUGGAACGGUCUGGAAAGUCCGACGGUACAGGGUGAUAGUCCCGUACACCAAAAUGCACAGGCUGUGAACUCGAAGAGUAGGGCGGGACACGUGGUAUCCUGUCUGAAUAUGGGGGGACCAUCCUCCAAGGCUAAAUACUCCUGACUGACCGAUAGUGAACCAGUACCGUGAGGGAAAGGCGAAAAGAACCCCGGCGAGGGGAGUGAAAAAGAACCUGAAACCGUGUACGUACAAGAGUGGGAGCACCUUCGGGUGUGACUGCGUACCUUUUGUAUAAUGGGUCAGCGACUUAUAUUCUGUAGCAAGGUUAACCGUAUAGGGGAGCCGCAGGGAAACCGAGUCUUAACUGGGCGUUAAGUUGCAGGGUAUAGACCCGAAACCCGGUGAUCUAGCCAUGGGCAGGUUGAAGGUUGGGUAACACUAACUGGAGGACCGAACCGACUAAUGUUGAAAAAUUAGCGGAUGACUUGUGGCUGGGGGUGAAAGGCCAAUCAAACCGGGAGAUAGCUGGUUCUCCCCGAAAGCUAUUUAGGUAGCGCCUCGUGAACUCAUCUUCGGGGGUAGAGCACUGUUUCGGCUAGGGGGUCAUCCCGACUUACCAACCCGAUGCAAACUACGAAUACCGAAGAAUGUUAUCACGGGAGACACACGGCGGGUGCUAACGUCCGUCGUGAAGAGGGAAACAACCCAGACCGCCAGCUAAGGUCCCAAAGUCAUGGUUAAGUGGGAAACGAUGUGGGAAGGCACAGACAGCCAGGAUGUUGGCUUAGAAGCAGCCAUCAUUUAAAGAAAGCGUAAUAGCUCACUGGUCGAGUCGGCCUGCGCGGAAGAUGUAACGGGGCUAAACCAUGCACCGAAGCUGCGGCAGCGACACUAUGUGUUGUUGGGUAGGGGAGCGUUCUGUAAGCCUGCGAAGGUGUGCUGUGAGGCAUGCUGGAGGUAUCAGAAGUGCGAAUGCUGACAUAAGUAACGAUAAAGCGGGUGAAAAGCCCGCUCGCCGGAAGACCAAGGGUUCCUGUCCAACGUUAAUCGGGGCAGGGUGAGUCGACCCCUAAGGCGAGGCCGAAAGGCGUAGUCGAUGGGAAACAGGUUAAUAUUCCUGUACUUGGUGUUACUGCGAAGGGGGGACGGAGAAGGCUAUGUUAGCCGGGCGACGGUUGUCCCGGUUUAAGCAUGUAGGCUGAUUGUCCAGGCAAAUCCGGAUAAUCAAGGCUGAGGUGUGAUGACGAGGACUACGGUGCUGAAGUAACAAAUGCCCUGCUUCCAGGAAAAGCCUCUAAGCAUCAGGUAACAUUAAAUCGUACCCCAAACCGACACAGGUGGUCAGGUAGAGAAUACCAAGGCGCUUGAGAGAACUCGGGUGAAGGAACUAGGCAAAAUGGUGCCGUAACUUCGGGAGAAGGCACGCUGGUGUGUAGGUGAAGUCCCUGCGGAUGGAGCUGAGACCAGUCGAAGAUACCAGCUGGCUGCAACUGUUUAUUAAAAACACAGCACUGUGCAAACACGAAAGUGGACGUAUACGGUGUGACGCCUGCCCGGUGCCGGAAGGUUAAUUGAUGGGGUUAUCCGUAAGGAGAAGCUCUUGAUCGAAGCCCCGGUAAACGGCGGCCGUAACUAUAACGGUCCUAAGGUAGCGAAAUUCCUUGUCGGGUAAGUUCCGACCUGCACGAAUGGCGUAAUGAUGGCCAGGCUGUCUCCACCCGAGACUCAGUGAAAUUGAACUCGCUCGCUGUGAAGAUGCAGUGUACCCGCGGCAAGACGGAAAGACCCCGUGAACCUUUACUAUAGCUUGACACUGAACAUUGAGCCUUGAUGUGUAGGAUAGGUGGGAGGCUUUGAAGCGUGGACGCCAGUCUGCGUGGAGCCAACCUUGAAAUACCACCCUUUAAUGUUUGAUGUUCUAACGUUGGCCCCUGACCGGGGUUGCGGACAGUGUCUGGUGGGUAGUUUGACUGGGGCGGUCUCCUCCCAAAGCGUAACGGAGGAGCACGAAGGUUAGCUAAUCCUGGUCGGACAUCAGGAGGUUAGUGCAAUGGCAUAAGCUAGCUUGACUGCGAGCGUGACGGCGCGAGCAGGUGCGAAAGCAGGUCAUAGUGAUCCGGUGGUUCUGAAUGGAAGGGCCAUCGCUCAACGGAUAAAAGGUACUCCGGGGAUAACAGGCUGAUACCGCCCAAGAGUUCAUAUCGACGGCGGUGUUUGGCACCUCGAUGUCGGCUCAUCACAUCCUGGGGCUGAAGUAGGUCCCAAGGGUAUGGCUGUUCGCCAUUUAAAGUGGUACGCGAGCUGGGUUUAGAACGUCGUGAGACAGUUCGGUCCCUAUCUGCCGUGGGCGCUGGAGAAUUGAGGGGGGCUGCUCCUAGUACGAGAGGACCGGAGUGGACGCAUCACUGGUGUUCGGGUUGUCAUGCCAAUGGCACUGCCCGGUAGCUAAAUGCGGAAGAGAUAAGUGCUGAAAGCAUCUAAGCACGAAACUUGCCCCGAGAUGAGUUCUCCCUGAGACUUUAAGUCUCCUGAAGGAACGUUAAAGACGAUGACGUUGAUAGGCCGGGUGUGUAAGCGCAGCGAUGCGUUGAGCUAACCGGUACUAAUGAACCGUGAGGCUUAACCUU